rnacentral:lncRNA from 1 species
CAUUUUGCUCCGUAUGUAGUCCAUAUUGAAAUCUCUGAAAAUGCUUAUAUUUAGGAACGAAGGGAGUAUCAUAUAGGACUCUGACAUGAACUAAAUUUUGCAGCAUCUGAUCGAACCUAUUAUGGAUAAAUUGUAGGAAUCCAACACUUUUCUCCUAGUAGAAGACAUAUAAAUGCUUCCCUUCAAAAAAAAAGAAGACAUAUAAAUGCUAAUUUAGCUGCACAUAGAGUCUGCUACGUUUAAUGUCAUUGGCGAUGUUCUUAGCAUCCAUGGCAAUACCAGCCAAUCCCCUUCUCC